rnacentral:rRNA from 1 species
UAACGCGUGAGUAACCUGCCUUGGAGUGGGGAAUAACACAGUGAAAAUUGUGCUAAUACCGCAUAAUGCAGUUAUCCCGCAUGGGGUUGACUGCCAAAGAUUUAUCGCUCUGAGAUGGACUCGCGUCUGAUUAGCUAGUUGGCGGGGUAACGGCCCACCAAGGCGACGAUCAGUAGCCGGACUGAGAGGUUGGCCGGCCACAUUGGGACUGAGACACGGCCCAG